UACGGAGGGUGCAAGCGUUAAUCGGAAUUACUGGGCGUAAAGCGCACGCAGGUGGCUGAGUCAGUCGAUUGUGAAAGCCCUGGGCUUAACCUGGGAAUUGCAGUCGAUACUACUCAGCUAGAGUAUGGGAGAGGGCAGUGGAAUUCCCGGUGUAGCGGGUGAAAUGCGUAGAUAUCGGGAGGAACAUCAGUGGCGAAGGCGGCUGCCUGG
rnacentral:rRNA from 1 species